GCUUUUGUGGUGCAGUUGGUUAACACGUCCGCCUCACACGCGGAAGAUCCCCAGUUCGAGCCUGGGCAGAAGUA